CAGCCUUCAUGAAGAGCCCAUGGCAACUCUGUGGGAAUGCUUCCAGCAGCCCGCUUAUGGCUGGAGACAGAGGUGUGGCUUCUAUCUAAGCUUUUCCCUCUGACUCAGUUCAGGAGGCAACUGUCUUGGGAAGCAAAUGAUAACAGCAUCUGGGAGAUUCUCUUCUGGAUGGACUAGCAGGGAAUCAGGACAUGAACUCAGUGGACUGACUGCACCGAGACUCACCUGGUCAUUACUUGAAGGUCAUUACUUAAACCUCCAUGAAUCUCCUGAUGAACUCCCUCAGAAGGUGGAAGGAGCACCUGACACCGAGCCGAGAUCAGCAGCAGCCACGCCCACGCUGUGGGCAGUUAAGAGGCAGCCAGUGGUACCAGUUGUGAGCAAUCAGAUUUGAGGACUCAGGAUUCUGGUUUCCUGAGUGUCAUGGACCUGCGGGCUGCAGGAAUGACAGCAACAGGUCUCAGGCAGGUGCCACAGCACCCACACACUGCCAGCAUUUUGUGCAAAAUACCCAAAGCCACAUCACCAGAUCUGGGCUCUCCUAGCCUCCUUUUGCUAAAAUGCUGGCCAAAGAGCUUAACGAGCCACUCAGGGGCACAAGAUAGGUGAAACCUGCAUGUUUUGUUUGUUAAACUAUUUGCCACAUGGCACAAGAAAAUAACAAAAAAUAAACAAAAGGAAUAACUGCAGCAUCAUGGUUUUGUUAAGAUGUCCCAAAGCUGAUCAGGGCUUCCUGUUAAAAUCUAAAUGAGACUCUUCCUAGGUGGCUUACGUUCAGUCAGCUGUGGCUCUGUGCAAAGAAAACCAGUUUCCCUUGCUCGGAAAUUUGGAGCCACUGAUAAGAGAAGAAAAGUGUGACUCCACAUGGAGGGUCAUGAUACAAUCUGAUCUCUGACCCCGUGGAGGUGAAGGGGCUUGUUCUGCAUACCAGGCUGAGGACUCUGGGACUGAGGCAUUCAGAGUUGCAGCUUUAAAUCAGAAGGGAGUUCCCUGCCCAUUUCAUCACAAGUCAGCAACAUCCAAAGAGUGGCAUUGAAGAAAAUCUCAUCACCGUGGGCUCAGUUUAGAUUGCUAGUCGGCUCAGAAAGCUACCUGCAAUUGCGUUUCCAGGAUGCAUCACAAAUACUCUCCACAUGAGUGAAAACAUCAGCAGAUGAAACUCAGCAUGCUUAGUGCGGGGCCAAGUCCUCUAACAAAGGACACAGCGGUUAACCUGCAUUGCGAGGACAGGCACUGUGAAGCCCUCAUCAGGGAUCCAUCCAGAGAACUUUGGUAAUUCUUGCAAAAUCCCUGUAUCACACAAUUUCCUUCCUUAAUGUGAUAAAGUGUACAUCUACAGAGCCUCUUCAGCCCUGCAGUGCAUGGAUGAGCAGAAGGCCACAAAGCCAGGUCAUAGCACUCCCUACCAUCAGAAUGGAGCCUGCCUGAAUGUGAGCUCAGUGAGAGGCACAUUCCAUUCUUGGGCCUGUCCACGGUGACUUGCCUGCUCUGCUCCAUCAUCCACUUAUUCACAAGUUCUGGGGCGACAAAGGGCAUGUUUUGUUUCAUCUUGUGCCAGACCCUCGGUGUGCACUCACUCACUCUACCUCAGCUCAAGAACUUCAGGGCUGGGAGUGCAUUUGGAGAGAAGGCAUGUGCAAUAUCUGGAAGCCUUAGCACAGGUGGGUUAUACUGAUGCUCUACAGACAAACUAUAGGAACUUGGGUUCUAAGGCCAGCAGGCGCAGGUGUCACCCCAAUGGCUCCCUUCAACAGCAGCAUAAAUAAGUCAUGUCAGAAGAACUCACAUUAGCCAUCUCCAGGACUCAUUUCCCUCUCAACAGCAGGAGCUCCUGCAGUCAGAACAGUGGUAAUUUUCAAAUCAGGCAUGUGGUGAUGCAGCAGGAAAGUGCCUGCAUCCCAGGUGUCCCAGCAGCUUUCUGGAGACCUCUAAUACCCACAUCUGCACCACAAAACUGCACAGCAUUGACUGAUACCAAUCUUCUUACACAUAUUGGUAAGUGGUAAUAGAAUGCCUCAACAGCAGACAACCCAGGAACCAAAGACAUACUGGAUUUUCAAGUCAGAAGAAUGCUUAGAGAUCAUCUGACCCAAUAGCCGUAUUUUACAGUAAGAUGCAGAAGCCAGUGUCCACAGUGCUAAAGCCAUUGGUCCAAGGUCAAAGAAUUUCAAACCCAUAAAUACCUCCAAGAAGCUUCCACUGGGACCUUAUGAUUUUAGUAAAAUUAUCAACAUUCAUGACCUAUGUCUACUGAUCUUAGUGUCUUCUCAGUAGGCAAUUAUUCUUUCUCACAUCAAUUUGCAGUUGCUAUAUUAUCAGCAUCCUUGGUAAAUUCAUCUUGUGUUCUGGGUGAAGACUAACAGAUUCUUCCUUCUUGGGCUGUGUCAUUCACUCUCAUCCCUCAUAACAUCCGGACACUGCUCUAAACACAGUGGCCUUUGAGAAAUGCUGCUGAAUUCUGACUAAGAAAGAGGAGAACUUUCAAAUACAAGAAAGUGAACAUUAUAGAGCUUACCACUCAAGAUGAUUUUCUACAAAUGCGGACAUGGGGCUGAUCUGCACCGUGUAAGUAUCAUUUGCCGAGUACUCAAAGAGUCCAUAGUAAGGGUUGAAGAGCUCCUGAGACAGAAGGAAGAAGAACUCCCGCGAGGGGCCACUGUAGUCCAGGCUGCAAAGAAAGCAGAGGUCCAGGAAGCUCAUUCUGUGCCCGGAGGUGGGGGGACCUGUUUGCACCCAGAUUCUAGUGUGCCCUUUCAGAGUUGGGUGCUGGGGAAAGCAGAGAGCAGCCUCUGCUCUUUGGAGUGAAUACCAGUGGAAGUAUCAAUUUGCUGUAGAAAAUGAGGAUGCAGUAAUUGGUUUGGAGAUGUUUCUUAACAAGAUGUCCAUGAAUAAACUCUUAUGGCAGCUUU
rnacentral:antisense_RNA from 1 species